UUUAAAAAAAAAGUAAAAGUCUAAGUCAAGGGAGGCAAUUGAAAAUAGCAGAUAGGUGAGGGGGUGUGGCGAUAUAUUUUCUUUUUUUAUAUUUAGUACGACUAUAAUUUUCUAUUUGGUACUAUUUGGUACGUUAAUAAGGGACAGUGCCCAAACUCCAACUUGCCGCGGCGGGGGGACCCACCGCGAUUCCUCCCUCCUCUUCCUCCGCUUCUAUACGCCUCUUUCCCCUCCCCAAAAGCCGUUCUCUAUUCUCUCUCUCUCUUCUUUUCUAUUCUUUUAUUUUAUUAUUAUUAUAAUAAUUAUCCAUUCCUCUCUCUUUCUCUCUCUCUCGCAACACGCCGAAACUCACCUCUCCACCGACUCCCUUGUUGUCGUAUUUUUUUUUUUAAUGGAAAAGUUGGGAAAAAUUAAAGCUUCCCAAGUGUUUGGAUAAUUACGUGAUAUAGUGGGGGAUAAACCACAAGUUGGUUCAGCAAUAAUUACAAGUUUCCAACAUGUCACCAAACCAGCCGAGAGGAGAUGAUUAAAGUUCUGGGUAAAAGUAAUGCUACCUCUCCGCUCUUCUUAGUGAAAAUAAUAAUAAUAAUAAUAAUAAUAAUAAUAAUAAUUCAGGAGAAAGCUUCUCAUAAUAUUUUGUUGGGCGAUUUGGAUUAACAAUUCUUUUUUAUUAAGGCUUCCCAACAGAACGUACGUUGUUAAGAAGCUUCUUACUGAAUGUUUAUUCCGUGUUUAACUAAUGUAAGUAUUAAAACUUAUGAUCUGAUAAUUUGAAAAAUAUUUCAUCGAAAUACUAAAUUCAGAAUUAGUUAUCUUUCUAGUUCUUAAAUUUGAUAUUAUAUAAAUUAUUUACAAAAUUUGGAAUUUUAGAGAUAUGUCAUAUGCAAAAACUCGAACAAACGAAGGUGUAAUUAGUACUCAAAAUUUGACUCAAAUAAGGAGUUGUUUGAUUACAUGUAAUUGUAGCUGCAUGACAGUUGUAACUGUAUACAAAUACAAAUUCGAUAUCUGAUUUAAUAUAUAUAAUAUAUAUAAUUCUAACUAUUGUAGUAAAAAUGCAGGAGGUCCAACUGCAACAGUUAAAAUUACGCCCAAAUUAACUACAGUCAGAAAGUAAUUUUAAACCAAAAAAAAACUUACCUCUUUAAUUAUUUUUUAAAUAAAAAAUAAUUUUUUUUCUCGCCAUCAUAUAUAUAAAAUAAUAAAAUUUUAAAAAUUAUUUUUCAACUACAUGUAAUUAAAUAAAAUAUUUAUAGUUGUUGUAUUUAAGAAACUGACCCAAGUAGAAGGAAGUAUCUUACAUUGUACCGUACCCACUGUGGUCCAGUAAAACAAAUGUGAAAAAAAAAAUUGGGAGCAUCGUGCAAAUGCGCAGAGAAGGGCCUCGAACAAUGCAAUGCCGCGUCACCCACCCAAGACGCGGCGCCAUAAGAAAGCAUAAGCUUUUCUCUAAAGUCGCGGUGACCGAAGCACUUUAUUUUUCUCCUCCACCUUCACAAAAGGUAAGUGCUUUCGAUUUCUCUCGUCUUCUAUUUUGCGCCUUUUAUUUUUUUAUUUUUUUUAUUUCACCAUUUCCCAGGAAUGUAAAGAAAAUAAUAAUAAAAUAAGUAUACUCCCGAAAGAAAAUUAUCGACCAAGAUAAUCAUCCAAAUUUUGUGAAAUUAUUAGAGAGAUAUAUUCUUUUCUUUGCUGACUAUGUAAGUCAACUUUUUCUAAUACGAAAAGAUUAUUCCGUCCUCCAACAAUUAUCUCUGAAGGUGAUAAAGGUUUUUGUAGACUAAAAAUAGGGUUUAAAUGAGAUUUUUAUUAUUAAUCGGAGUUAAGGAUCGUACAGUUUAAUAUAAUUAAGGAAGAAGCAGCAGCAGCAGCAGCAGCACAAGGACGAGCUCGCCCCGGCGCUCUCAUCUUAAUCCCUGAACCGGGAAUCAAGGCCGGGGAAAUUUUACACCACAAAAUGAGGAAGCCAAAAGAAAAUUUGAAAAAAAAAAAAAAAUAUAAAAAAAACUCGACGGGCGGUCGGGCUCGAACAAAAUCCGUCGCCGGAUCGGAAACAGGCACCUGCCAACACCGACGAGAUUUUUCAGCGGCCUCAAAACGCGUUCGGAACGCGAUCAGGAAGAGGUGUAGAGAGUGCGUUGGGCGGCCGCUGCGUUCCCGCUCGUCGUCACGGAGCCUCCGAGGUCAUCGACGGCGUCGUCGGCGCCGCGCGGCGACGCGGAUCCUCGUCGUCGUCCCCCGCGGCGGCGGCGGCGGCGCGCGCCGGAGAUUCGCGGCUCAGGCACAGAUUGAGGUCGCACGUGUCGUCCGCAGAACGGCGGCGGCGAGUCCUCGAGCGAGCUCUUGAGACGCUUCACGGCGGAGAAGUGAGGCGCCCCGCCCCUCGGCCGCGCGUAAGGCCUCCGCCGUCGUCGUCGCGGCGGCUGCGCGCGCGCGCGCAGAGGCCGUCGAGAUCGGGGAGCGGGCCAGGGAACCCCGCGGAGGACGUCUCCACCGCGGCCUGGCACAGUGCCAGUUCCCCGUCCACAGGAGCCCCACGCCCGUUCACGGGGUUGAUCGUGCGCCGCCACGCCUCGAACAGCAGAGAUUGAAACAAAGCUACACCCAAAGGAACAAAAAAAAAAAAAAAAAAAAAAAAAAAAGCGGCGAAUCAGAUCGCGAUCGCGAGAUCGGAGAGCCAUCGAUCGAGCGAAGCAAACUAGGGUUUCGGAGGAAAGAGGGGUUGGGGGGGGGGCGUGUUUUUACCAGGGCGCUCCGGCUCGGGGACGGCGGAGAUGAAGGACAUGAGGCCGGCGCGGCCGAAGAACUUGGCGACGAAGACGGUGGCGUGGCCCUGCGCCUCGGCGCUCUCGAUCCACUGCAAGCAGGGGCGGAGCACGCACGCCUCGCUGCAGCCCUUGCGGAGGACUCGGCACCCGUUGCAGCUCAUCGUCCCCAACUCCGGCGCCGAUCGAUCAUGCCACGGAGAAAACAAAGAAGAAGAAGCAGCGGAACCCUAGCUCGAUCGACGAUCGAUCCUCUUCUUCAGGUCAAAUCUCUCACUCUCUCUCUCUCUCUCUCUAGUUUCUUUUUUUUUAAAAAAAAAAAUCAAUUAGUUUGGAAGCGGAAACGUAGUAGCUUGAGCAAGAAGAAAAGUUGAGGGAGGAGGGGACUGGGGAGAGAGGGAGGCGGAGAAACGGGGAGGUGGGGAGUGGUAUAUAUAAGGGUCACCGGAGAGUUAAACUUAACUCGACUCCAGAGUUAAGUUUAGAACGGUAUUGUUACCGCCCUGCCAGAGAACUUUUCCCUGGACCUGGUUCACUAAUAAGUCAUCUGGUUUCUUUUUUCUAAAAAUAGUAAAAGAUCCACUGUAACUAUCAAAAUUUUAGAUGCCUUUUGUUUCAUCAUCUAAACUUUAAUUUAUUAUAUAAUUUUACUUUUCAUACUUUAACUUUGCCACAAUCGAUUAUCAAUUAUAAAGUAUUAUUUUGCCAUCAAAAUAUUAACACAGUUGUUAAAAAAAAAAAACUAUUUAUCUCAACGUACGAAUUGACUUUUUAAUUAUUUUUAUUAAAAAAUCAAAAUUUUACUCAUGCAUGAUCCAAUGAAUGAUAAAUUAAAACUAAAUUAUCAUUAUUAUUAUCGGAAGGAUUAGGGGGAUAGAGUCUACGGGCUUUGUUUUGGGAGGAGAAAACCAAAAAAAAAAAAAAAAAGUUCCAAAGUCCUGGGGUGCGCGGUGGCGGCCCCGUGUUUCCGCGGCUGGUCCCCAUCUCUCCGCCGUCCGAUUCGUCCGGGGUCACGGAUAGGGGCGUGGCGUGGCCAUCGAUGCGCCCUCGCCGCUUGUAUACCUAUCUCUCUCCUAUAUUCUAUUUCUAUACCUUUCUUUUUACAUACUUUGUGCUCUCUUCCACGUAACCCCUUGUUCCCUUUCCAAUUUAAUAUUCACCCCACUUGCUUCUCUCUCCUUUUCUUUAUUUAUAUAUAUAUAUAUAUAUAUAUAUAUAUAUAUAUAUAGAGAGAGAGAGAGAGAGAGAGAGAGAGAGAGAGAAAGAGAGAGAGAGAGUGUUGAGCUAGAAUACUCUCAAAAGGACCAAAAGGUUGGUGUUUUUGAGUUUUUAACCUUUUGAUGGAGAAAUAUAAGAUUUGGAUGAUGAUGGUAGGUGGUAGUAGAUGGAAUAGUGUUUGAUCCCAAGGUUAUUAGUAAUUAAAGAGUGGAUCUAAGGGUUAAAAACUUAAUAGCACUAAGAGGGUGAUACUUCUAAAAGUAUUUAAGCCUAUAUAUAUAUGAAUAGAGCUACUACACUAUCGGAAGCAUAAAAUAAUUGGUACUUUCGAUUUUUUAGCCAUUGGAUUAAAAAUUUUAUAGUUGGAAUGAUGGCGGUCUCCUUAGGGUGGAGUGGUCCCCAUUGGUUAAUAAUAUUAAUCCAAUGGUUAGAAAUAAUCAAUGGGGUUGAUUUAAUGGCUAAAAAAUCGAAAGCACCAAUCACUUUAUAUUUUCGAUAGGAUAGUAGCUCUACUAUAUAUAUAUAUAUAUAUAUAUAUAUAUAUGAGCAGAGCUACUUUGCUAUUAGAAGCACAACAGCCCUUGUGCUCCAAACUUUUUAAUCACCCAGCAAGUUUGAUGGGUGAUUAGAAUGAGAGAGGGAAGAGAUGUUUGAGAGAAAUUCAAGAAAAAGAGAAAUUGAGACAUCCAAUUUCUCCCCAAUAUCUCCAAUAUCUCUUUCCUCUCUCAUUCUAACCACCUAUCAAAUUUGAUUGGUGGUUAGAAAGUUAACUACCUAUCAAAUUUGAUUGGUAGUUAGAAAGUUAGGAGCACAAAGACUGCUGUGCUCAUAAUAAUAUAGUAGCCCUGCUUUAUAUAUAUAUAUGGAUUAAUUUCAUACAAGUCCCUAUAAAUAUAGUGAAUGAUAAAUAUAUUUCUAUAAGUUCAACUUUCAUAUGUUGUCUCUAUAAAAGCCCUGAUAUUUUCAUAUAUGUCCAUAUGAUUCGUUAUCGUUAGAAAACCGUUAGAGAACUAUAGAGAUAUAUUUGUCAUUCAUUAUAUUUGCAGGAGCUAGUAUGAAAUUAAUCAUAUAUUUAUUAGAACAAAAUGCAACUAGAGCCCUCAAGUAUAAUACUGUUUUAAAUAAAUCCCCCAAACUCUUGAUUUUUUUUUAUAGUAAAAACAUACAGAACUUCGCUUUUAAAAUUUUAAUUUUACCAUCAAACUUUUCAAUUUAUUUGAUUUGAGUCGACAAACGAUAUUUGAUUUUAAAAGUUGUUUAUCUUUAUAGAUUUGGUUAAUAUAUUUAAUGCAAUUUUUACAACUAUAAAACUAUUAAAAUAAAAAAUUGGCUUAAAUUUUGAAGUAAAAAUGUCGCUGACUGACUCAAAUCAAAAAAAUUGAAAGGUUGGAUAGUAAAAUUAAAAUUUAAAAAGGUUGAAUAGGUAAGUUCUAUAGGUUUUUACCUUUUUGUUUUGAUAUUAAGUGGUUUUGUUCAAAUAAAUUUAAAAUUUUUAUUAAACUUAAUUAUUUAAUUAAUUUUGAGCAAAUAAAAUUUAAAUAAAUAAGAAUUAGUAAUUAAUUGAUUAUUAAAUCCAGUGCUAAGUUUUAACUUAACUAAGAGGUUGCUUGGUUGCAUGUAGUCAGUAUAGUAUUGCAAUUUAGCUGCAUGCAAAAAUUUAAAUACAGAAAUUAGAUUUAUGCAUUUAAAUCCUAAGUGUUGUAUUGCUGCAGUUGGAAUCGUACACGAGGAUUUUGCUAUUGCAAUUGAAACUAUAUUCGAAUUGGUUGUAAUUUUAACUGCAGCAGUCGAUAAAAAAUAUAUAUUUUUAACUGCAUACAAAUUAACAAUCCUAUAUUUAAUUAUAAUUAUCUCUGAAAAAUAGCACAUAAGUUAUGAAGCUCUUACUUAAAAUAGAAAAUAUUUCAAAGCUCUAUUUUAAACGUGGCCAAUAAUUGAGGGUGUUUCCAUACAAUUUUAUUUUACUUUUCAUAUGUAUAAUAAUGCAUCAACUUGGUGUGUCACGUCUUUUGACAUUUUAUACAUGGAGGUCCCUAUAGUACUUGUUUAUUCUCUUUAGCCAAGAUAGCCCCCCAAAAAAAAAAAAAAGUUAGAUCAAGUUUGGGUUUUUAUUAACUUAAUGUAACCUUACCCAUUUGAUGUUGAUGAGAUAGAUUCUAAGCUAAUCCAAUGUUAGCUAUUUAAUCAUGCAAUUAUUUGCUCCAAUUCAUUUAGAAUUCUCCGCUAAGAACGGAGCGUCGUUUUCGUACAUGUCAUAUUCAUUUUAAUAAUAAUCUAAAAAAUUGGUAUUAUAAAAAUUUAUAUAUAAUUGCUAAAUCAGCUUUAGCUUAGUGGUUAGGCACCUGGUGCCGCAUAUAAGAGAACCAGAAUCAGAAUCAUAAAAUGAAAAAAUAAUAAUAAAACUUAAAAUUCUUUUAUAUUUUGCAUUUUGUAUUCACGAUAUUUUUUAGCAGAGUAUUUGAUGAACAAAAUAAAUUAUAGAAAAGUAGCACAUUUAUAAGACAGUUUAGGAAUGAAAUGUUUUGAUGGGACCUGCUAUGAAACAACAUUAACCUAGAAAACAACUUACUGUAAGGGAAACUUUUUCUUUUUUCCAGAGAAAUUGUAAUAUACUGUCCACUUCGUUUAUUUUUUUUAAAAAAAAUUUAAUUCAAUAUGUAAAAUAAUUAGAUUUUGGAAUUGAAAUAUGGAAUAGAAACUAUUAAACUCUUUACCACUGGCGCUAAAAAUGAUCGAAGUAAAGACAGCACUAUUGACUGGUAAAAUAUAUGACUGCUUAGUAAAAUAUUUGAUUACUUUAUACUUUUGGUUCUAAAACUAUGCCUUACGUAAUGCUCUGGUCUUUAAACUUUAAUUUAUUAUAAUUUUUAAAUUAAAUUUUUUGAAUUAUUGCAAUCGAGAUCCACAAUCUAAUUUAGCUGACUAAAUAUUGAUAUACUGGUAUUUUAAAAAUAGUGUAAUAGUAUUGUGAUUGACCCCAUGACAAUAAUUAAAAUAUCAUAUUAUUUUUCAUCAGCAACACGUUAAUAUUCAGUCAAGUAAAUUAUGUUGUGAAUUUUAGUAAAAGCAAUUUAAAAAUUUUAGGUGAAAAAUUAUAAUAAAUUAAAGGUCGAAAACGUAAUAUAGCCAAAAUUUGGUAAGAACAUGGGGGUGAUUAUGCAUAUUUAUUGUAUGCGUCCUCGCUUGUCCCCUUAAUAGGCUUAUAUAGGACUUGUUAUUGACCCUUUUUACUUGCCUCUAGUGGACUUUAGUGGGGGCUCCUGUGCUCGUAAUCUAUAAGAUUUUCUUUGUAUCCCUUUGGAUUAUAUAAGCACAAAUUAAAAAGACAAAAAAGAUAAAAUAAAAAGAGAAAAAAAAAUUAGUUUGGUGAGUGAGAAAGUUUGAAGAAGAGAGAGAUAUCUAUCUCUAUUCUCAGAUAAAACUUUAGCCGGGGGCUCUCAAAGACGCUCCUUUGAUCAACUGCUAUGUAUUAAUUUUAUAUCUAUUUUAUAAUUUGUUUAGGUAUUUUUUGAUCCGGUUAAUUUCAUACAGAUCUUUGUAAAUAUAGUAAAUUGCAAAUAUAUAUUUCUACAAACUUUAACUUUUAUAUGUUGUUCCUGUAAAAGUUCUAAUAUUUUCAAAUAUGUCCCUCUUGUUAAUUACCGUUAAAGUACUGUUUAUUUUAUAAGAGAAAUAACUUUUUUGUCAUUAUAAAUAUGUCUCUCCAAAAGUCCCAACUGUUAAUUAAAGAGGGGCAAAAUAUUCAAUUCACCUAAUUAACUAACUAGAGUUAAGUAUUUACCUAUGGUUAACUAAUUUUUUCUAACAGAUCCUAACGAUAGAGACAUAUUUGAAAAUAUUAGGACUUUUGUAGGAAUAAUAUAUAAAAGUUGAACUUUGUAGUAAUAUUUUUGUAAUUCACUAUGUGUGCAGAAAUCUGUAUGAAAUUAAUUCUUGUUUAUACUAAAAUCUAAAAAAAAAAAAUAAAUUCUAGAAAAAAAGGAUCAUAAUUUUUGGAUAAAGAUAAAAAUAACACGUGGCGACAUAUCGUCAUUGGGAGGCCCCCCGCCGAAAGUUUUUUUUUCUCUAUUUUCAUCAUCAAGGGAGUAAGGUUAUUAAUGCAACUCAAAAAUCAUAUCGUCAAUUUUCGGAGUAACUCAUUAAGCAUAAAUUUAUAAACUAUUUGAGCCAAUUAAAUGCAAUGUUCUCACAUAAUAGUUUGAGAGGGCUUAGGACCUGCUCUGAUACCAUAUCUUCGAAAAGAAGAGUCUCGCAUUUUUCGCGUACGAUCUAUAUACUUUAGUAUGAAACAAUUGAAAAUUAUCUAAUUAUUUUAUAAUAUUAACCAUUUGAUUCCUUCACUCGCAUUAUUGCCUUUUUGUUCAGCUCACUUAAAACCUAAUUAAAAGAUUAUUUUGCGAUAAAAACUAUAUCUGUUUAAUGAUCAGGAAACAAAAUGAAAUGCAUGCAUGCGAAACAAUGAAACACAAAUAAAAACAGAAGUUCAAAAUCUAAAGUGCUUGUGUAAAAUGUGCAUGGACAAAGUGGAAAUAUGUUUAAUCUAUAAUCUAGCAGUUCUAUCCACAAGUCUAAAACCUUGCAUUGCCACAUCGAAAAAAAAAAAAAAAAAUCGUUGACUUUAGUCUGUCAUAAAGCCUCUUCACAAAUAUCAAAGCACAUAUUAUUUAUUAUUAUUCGUUAAAAAUGCACAAAAUUUAUGUAAAUUAUAAAUCAUUUUGAGUUUACUGUACCAUCCUUUAAAAUUUUAAUUUUACUAUCUAACCUAUCUAUUUAUUUGAUUUGAGUUAGCCAAUGAUAUUUUGACUUCAAAAUAUGAAUGCGUCGUUUAUUUUUAUAUAUUUAGUUAGUACAUUUCAUAUGAUUUUCGCAACUACUAAUUCAUUAAAAAAAUAAUUAACUUAAAUUUUAAAGUCAAAAUAUUAUUAACUAAUUCAAAUCAAACCAAUUUAAAGAUCGGGUACUAAACUCAUAAAUUUGAAUGGUUGAGCUCAGAUAAGUUAUGUACAUUUUUAUUACCUAAUUAUUAUUAUUACAUGACACAUGUACAAUUACACUUUCAAAUAAAACUGAUAAUACCGACUGUCCCUAAAGCAAGUGGCAAAGGGCCUGGUGGUUGAUACCCGAGACCCAAGCUCGAAUCCUAGUUGAUUCAUAUUUCCAGUUAAGUUUAUUUCUAAAUGAAAUAAACGAAGCGGGUAGCGUGCUACCUAUUUUUCAAAAAAAAAUAAUAAUAAUAAAACUGAUAAUGUGCUACAUUUCUCUUAAAAAAAAUUAUUUAUUUUUUUAUUUUGUAUGUAAAGAAUGUAAAGUUUUCCUUUACUAGCUUUGGCACUUCUGAAAUAUGUGGUACAGAAACCUUAAUUUCUCUCCUCUUUCUCUACUGAGAGGAAGAGGUGAGCGGGUGCCGCGUCCACGGAGAGAGCGAGAGAGAUGUAAACGCACCCUGCGGCACGGCCACGGGGGACAACGAUAUAUUCUCUCUUUAGACAAGUUGAGUGUGGGGGAUCUAUCAUGGAUGUGUAUACAUGAACUGGGGGAGAUGUUCCAUUGAUUAUAUUAUUUGGAAUUCCCUGGCGCUACACGACAUUUCCAGCUUAUUCAUGGAUUGGGAUACAUAACUGGGUCGUUUUCUCAACUCUCAUCUCCCCCGAGAGGAGGAUCCUCAAAAUAUGUUCUUGUUUUGACAGUUUUGUUAAGAUAUUUUUUUGGGGGUGUUUCUUUUUCUUUUCUUUUUUUUUUUUUUGGUGGUGAAAAUUUGUGGAAGCUCGCACAACUGCACGUCAUUUUACGUACCCCUGCUACUCGGGAUCUAUUUGGGUGUUGAAAAAGAUUUUUUUUUCCUCUUUUGGUUAAGAUAUAGAAAACCUCUUAUAAAUAUUCAUUUUUUUAAUUUUUUUUCUUGACUUUUAAAAAAUCUGCAUUUUGUCCUCUUAAAAUUUUACAAAUAUUUUCAGAGGAGUACAGUAUUAAUGAAGAGAACAAAAUGACCAAAUUAUUCUUAUUCCUUCUAAAAAAAAUAAUUUUUAAUAUAUUUCUGUCAUUUUGAAAGAAUUUUCGGUAUAAAUUAUUAAGAAAUAGACAUAAGAGUGAUAGAACCCUGGCGGAAGGGGGUAAAUGCAACGACUUGAAAUGUUAAGAAAUAAAAUAUAAGCUUUUAAAAGUUGGAGAAGGAAAGUAAAAAAAUAGAUAUUUAUAAAAAAAUUUCUGUAAGUUAAGCUAUUGUUUUGCAUUACUGGAUAACAUAUAUAUAUAUAUAUAUAUAUAUAUNGGAUAUGAUCCAGAAACCCAUUGCUGGAAGAAAGAGACACCUACCAACUACUCUAGCCCUGUUUAAACAUUGGAAUAAAUUAUUCUUAAAUAACUUAUUAGGUAUAAAAUUUCUCGUAUAUGAUUGAAGGCAAAAAGUUUGAUUUUUACUCUUUGAAAGGUUUUGUCAUCUAUUUUGGUAGGAUAUAUAACAUAUGUCAACUAAAAAGUAGAGUAUAUUAUUCUAUAUAUUCUAAACGUUUAAUAAUAUUUUAUUCUGGAUAUACUUUUGAUUUUUAAAAAGCUCUAGUAUUUGGUAGAUAAAAAAAUAUUAUUAAACGUUUAGAAUAUAUAGAAUAAUAUACUCUACUUUUUAGUUGACAUAUGUUAUAUAUCCUACCAAAAUAGAUGACAAAACCUUUCAAAGAGUAAAAAUCAAACUUUUUGCCUUCAAUCAUAUACGAGAAAUUUUAUACCUAAUAAGUUAUUUAAGAAUAAUUUAUUCCAAUGUUUAAACAGGGCUAGAGUAGUUGGUAGGUGUCUCUUUCUUCCAGCAAUGGGUUUCUGGAUCAUAUCCACAAAAAGAAAUAUAAAAGUUUUGUUAACUAUAGUUGUUAAUUAUAGUUUUUUUUCUAACAAUAUCCCUAUAAAAAUGUUUAAUUUGUCACAUAACUAUUCCAAAUUUUAUUUUACCAGCUAACCCUCCUUGUGCCAACUUAAUAUCAUAUUGAAAAAAUUAAGAACACGGUGAAUAGUUCAUCGCCUUUGCAUCGCCAUUUUUAAAAAAUAAGGAAAAGAUAAUGAAUCAUUCACCAUCUUCUAUAUUGCAUUUAUGGGCCAUUUGGUUGGAUAUAGUUGUAAAUACAGUGUAGUUAAAAAUGCAUACAGUUGUAAUAACAUUAAUUUCUUUGGCUUUGUGUAGAUGCAACUAUUGCAGUUGCAUUUCUUCUUUUUUGAUAAUUUGAAGCCGAUAAUUGUAUUUAUAAAUCUUAUCAUCUCUUUAGAUAGAGUGGUGAGAUUAUCUUCACUAUACAUGAAAUAAUUGUAUAAUUUUAUUAAUCAUUUAAGUUUACUAUCUAUAAAUAAAUAAGUGGAAAUAUAUAAUAUUUUUAUAUUUUUCAAUAAUUUUUCAACUUAUCAAUCGACACAUUUAAAUUUUUUAAUUUAUUUAAUUUUAAUAUGUAAAUCAAAUUUUAAAAAUUUAAACGAUUCUCUCUUUUUUUUUUAUCAAAUUUAAUAAUUAUAAUUAAUUAAAACUUAUUAAGUUGACAUACACAAUCAUAUUCUGUGAAAAUUUAGAAAAAAAUUUAUUUUUUAUAUUUUGAAUAAAAUAGAUUUUAAAAAAAUUAAUUUUUUGCACAUAACUUGUAUCGCCUAAAAAAUUUUAUUAGUAUGAGUUUAUUUACAAGUAUUUUUAUUUAUCCAUAUAUAUAUAUAUAUAUUAUUUAUUUAUUUAUUUAUUAUGUUAAUUUGUCGGUGAUCCUAUUGCUCACCAACUGUUGCAGUUGGAACUGCAGCCAAUUUGGAUGUAGUUCAAACUACAAGAUUUGGACAUUCUUGUGCAAUUGCAACUGCAGCAAUUGGACUCAACCACAUUAAACCAAACACAGGAAUUAAAGUUGCAUGUCUUUGUAACUGCAGUGCAGUUGCAAAUGCAUGCAACCAAACAGCCCCUUAAUGCGACAACUGAUUGCAUUUUUUCAAUUAUUUUUCUAACCCAACACUUAGUUUGACAAAAUAUAGUAAAUUUUUACUAGAUUAUUUGGUCAAUUUUAAAAUUUUUAAAUGGCUAAAAUGAAAAGAAAAACUCCUUAAUUGUUAUUAGUUGUUUAGUAAACUACCAACUUAACCGAAUUUUUGUGGAAUUUUCAAAAUCCAAAGUUGGAGUGAUGUUAUUUAAUAAAAAUAUAUUGAGCCCACUUAAAAAUCAGCUAUCUUUAACGCAGCCCAAUUAGUGGCCCAUUUACUAGAUGGGCUGGACCAGCCCAGAAAUCAAAAUUUGAUACAGGGCCUGUUUGGUACCGACGGCUGCUAAACAGUGUUUUUAUGUGGGACCGCAAAAAUCAUAUCUUCGUCAAACUAAGUGUGAUAUAUGCAGCGUGUCAUCACUUCAGAAAUAAAUAUAAUAUUUUUCUAUUGCAAGUUUCACGGCCUGUAACACAUUUUGCUUGCAAUCCCAUACGGUGCUUUAUCGCGACGACUUCAUAAAGUAUGUAGUAUUCCGUGCGUCCAAGUCCGUGUUGUCGCAAAAGUCGACAACUGUAGUAGCUCCCAACUAUAUAUAUUGAAAAUACUGAAGCUUAAAUUGUCAGUACCAAGUGCUAGUUUAUUUGUACAGUGUCAGUUUGUUUCUUCGAAGCAAUGUACGUAGCUACACGAUUCGAUAUGAUGCUACUGAGAAGGUGUGACGUUACCAUAUAAUGAAUCUGUACAUGAGGUAAAGAUAAGAGAAUAUACCAUUGUAAAAAUCCUGCAUGGCACCCUCAUGCAUGGUGACCAUACUUGUAUAUUUAUGAUAAACCAAACUUCAUACAUUUGUCAUGCAUGCAUGAACUUCAAUUUAGUUCGUCUCUGAGAGUACAUAGCUGGUGCCUGAUCACUAACAAAUGAUAUAUAUAUAUGGUCGAGGAUGUGGCAUACACAAGGUGUAGAAGCCCAUGUAUGUAUGUCCCAUUGCAUCCUCAUUCGUGUAUCGGAAUGUCAGAUAUGUGCUCUGCCCCUCCACUACAACAGAAUUAGGUUAUAGGGACACAUGUUUGGGACACUUUUGAGUAAGUGUCCCAUUUAUACUAAAACUUAAAAAAAUAUCUACUUAUGCCUAAAUAUAAAGCCCAAUCCAACCAAAAAUAAAAGAUUACUCUACUCAACCCACCACACCCAAUCCAUUGGACCCAAUUACAAACAGAAAAAAAAAAAAAAAAUCAAUUACCAUCUUUUCUUCUCUCUUCACUCAAUCCACUGAAAUUCUAGACGAAGAGCAUUUCCUGUCGUCCUCCUCCGCCACAGCAGCCAACGAGAUAAAGUUUCGGCGGUUGUUAAAUGUUUAAAUAAGUAUUGGUAAAUUAGCAGCACUCUUUUAAAUUAUAGCGACACACUUUAACUGUCACUAUAUAUCUAGCGACCCCACAUAUAGCAGCACUUUUUAAAAGUGCCGGUAAUUUUAGCUAACAGCACUUUUUUGACAUGUACUUACAUUUAAAAGUGUCGCUAUAGACCGCUUUUAUUGUAGUGCUCAUGCCAUGCAUGUAUGCGACAUCGCAUUAAUAGCAUGCAUGUUUAUACCAUGACAUGACGGAAUGGGAUGGCCAGGUCCACCAGGAGAGCCUGCAGAGUUGAUUUUGUUCUGAUUCCAUGCAUGGGAUGCAUCAUGCAUGUGCCAACUCCAUGCAUGGAGUUAGGCAUCAAUGAAGGGCAUCCAUGCACGUACGCAUGCAUGUAAUUAACAUGCAUGCAUACGCGCAUGACAUGAUCGACACUCUUGAUGCAUGAAGCAUUAUUCUUGUGCAAAAUAAUGAACUUUUUCUUUUUUUUCUUUUUUUUUUACCCUUUUUGUGUGGCUUUGGUUAUCCUAGUAAUUUUUUUUUUAUCUUGUAGAAUGUUUUCAACAAAAAUACAUGUUAGCAUCUUGUUCGAUUAUCCAAAAAUUCCUAGUUGAUCCAUAGAUAUAAGUUCCACAACACACACACCCAUUAAUUUUUCUCUUUGAUCUUGAUUCAUCGUAAUCCGGUAAGAAGAAUACAAACAAACUGCUCUAAAUAGUUGUGCUAAAUUCUAGCUCGGCAUAGACGGGAUAAUAAUUAAGCGCAUAAUUAGGACCCUAAUGAUCGGCUUCCUAGCUACUUAAAUAGUAGUGUAAUUAGAUCACUUAGUUCCUAUUUUGACUUGACCUAAUUAAUAAAGUUGAUGUAAAAACAUGUUGCCAAUCUCAUUACAUGCCCUCCAAUCAACUAAAUCAUGUUCAAGAUAUAAUAUUUCAUCUUUCAAAAUUAUGAUUGCGAUAAUCGCACAUACAAUGGACUACAAUCAAACUUUUAACUUGCAAUUAUUAAAUAAAAACAGAAAAAAAAAAUUACAACAUCGGACAAAAAGACAAAUACUCUCAACGAUCGAACAAGUAGCAGAACAACCUAAUGGGCAUGAAAUUUUGCGAACGCGCGGGUUAUCGCCGGCAUUUGCUAGCAUUGUUACAAUCUGCAUGUCAGCACACCAACAGUUUUGCAGAAAACAGUUGGUUCAGAACAUAUUGGCUAUAGCUAGCUCAGCACGUAAAGAUUUUUCUAUACGCGAACCCAUCUCAUAUAAUACGUAAGUCCAACGGCCGAAUGUGCCCGGUUGUUUUAUCUAUCACCAGACAAAAAGACAGAUACUUUUAACUAUCAAACAAGCAGCAAAACAACCCAUUGGGCAUGAAAUUAAAUUUUGCACACACAUGGGUUAAUUAUCACUUGUAUUGUUAUAAUAUUUGUAUGUCAGCACAUAAACAGUUUUUACAGAAAGCGGUUGGGACCCAAACCUUACGAUAAAGAAGAUGCUAGGGUUUGACUUGGCACGUAAAGCGAGCGAGCCCCUACUUGUGUACUUAGUUUGUGACUUUUGGUUCUUGGACCAUUAACACCGCACUAAAAUAUCUAGCCAGAACCUGCAGAGAAAGAGAGGCCCACAAAAUUUAAGUUGCAUGCUGUGUGUGGUUCGGACGUGGGACAAAGAAGAUGCUAGGGUUUGACAGGACAAAUUUUUAUUUUAAAAAUAGUCCUGUCAAAAUUUAAUUUGUAAAAAUGGUUCUGAGCCUGCCAUGCAGGCGCCACAUCAGCACCACGCGGGCAGGACUGGGCCCGUGAGUUAAGUUAAACACGAUGAACCAUUCACCGUGUUCAAACACGGUGAAUGGUUCACCGUGUUUAGUACGUAUUUUUUAUAACGUAUUUUUUGUAUAUUGAAAAGUGGAAUAAGGAGUAGGGAUGUCAAUAGAUAUGGAUAUCCGAAAUAUUAUCCGAAUUCAAACCAGAAUAAAUUACACACACACACAUAUAUAUAUAUAUAUUAUAUAUAUAUAUAUGAUAUAUAUAAAUUAUUUUUGUUUAUUUAUACAAUAUAUAAAAUAUUUAAUAAUUUUUAUUUCUUAGAUCUUCAUCCAACCCAGCGGGUUUUAAAAAUCUAUACCGUUGGAUGAAGAUCUAAGGAAUAAAAAUUAUUAAAUAUUUUAUAUAUUAUAUAAAUAAAUAAAAAUAAAUUACGUGUGUGUGUAUAUGUAUAUAUAUAUAUAUAUAUAUAUAUAUAUAUAAAUUUAUUCGGGUUUGGAUUCGGAUAAUAUUUCGAAUAUCCAUACCUAUUGACAUCCCUACUUCUUAUUUCACUUUUCAAUAUGCAAAAAAUACGUAAGAAACACGGUGAACCAUUCACCGUGUUUAGACACGGUGAAUGAUUCACCGUGUUCAACUUAAUACCCUGGCUCCAGCCCUGCCCGCGUGGCGCUGACGUGGCGCCUACGUGGCAGAGACAGGGCCAUUUUUGUAAUUUUAAUUUUGAUAGGACUAUUUUUAAAAUAAAAAUUGCUCAGGGGGCUAUUUGCAAAAAAAGCCCCUGUGCUAAUAUGUGUCAAAGAGAGUGUUAAGAUAAUAGUUCUGAUUCGGGAGAUGACAUGCUCUCCCUCUAGGACAAACCUUUGGCUACGCCUGGUGGGCAGUCGACGAUGUCUCGACUUUCUGAGCUGGCUGCUGGUUGGUGGGUCACUUGGGAAGUAAGGAAUAGUGUAAUCUUUCGAUCGGUCCCACCGAACCCGAACCUAGCCGUGUUUAAGAUCAAACAGUUGUCGACCUCGUGGGAGCAAUCCUUCUCUACCGGUUAUGAUCUAACAGUUGGUGAACACGUGAGAGCAAUUCUUUCCCGCUGUUUUUUUUUUUUUUUAACCCCUUUCGAGGCCUUGCUGCAUGUAGCUUAAUUCUCCGUUCUAAUAAAUGAAGCGGAUAAUAUGCUAUCUUUUCCUCCAAAAAAAAAAAAAAAAAAGUUCUGAAAUCUUGACCUCUAUAUAAUGUAGAGGCUAUUUUCACCAAAUGGCUUAAGUUUUUCAAGUUGGAUCUGAGUCUCUUAAAGCUAGUGUAAAAAUCAAGAGAUGUUAACGGGUAUAGAUAUCCAAAUCUAGACGGGAAAGACCUAACCAAUGUCAAAUCGGUACGGUUUCAAGGUAUAAAACUAAAAAAAUUCGACGUAGUCGGAUAUAGUUUUUAAUUAUACCAACCUAAAUUCGAACCCAUAUCGAAUCCGAAAAGAUUUUAUAUAUUACAUGACUUUUAAUUUAUAAUUUAAAAAUUUACAUUUGAGUAUGAUAUAAUUUGAAAUUUGGUUAAAAUAAAAAAAAAAGGAUUGCUUUUGGUUUUCCCUUCUUUUUGUCAGGUUUGUUUUUAGUUAUGAAUUUUCGAAAAGCGUUGAGUUUUAGGAAUUUCGCAGAUCCAAUGUUUGGAUGUUGCCAUUGUCGUAGAUUUUCUGAUGAGCUUACCUAUUUACGACCGUUUAGAUUAAUGAAUUUGUGAUUAAUUCGACUGUCAUAUUAAUUUUGCCAUUCAUCUUGAAUAUACUGAAAAGCUCUGACAAGCAGUCACGAACUUAAAUUCUCUAAAAUAAAUUUUUUUUUCUAAAAAUACUUCAAAAUGAUCUUCCUACAAAAGAUCCAUAUCUAGUUUAUGACUAGAUGAUAAAUUAAUCUCUGCUGCAUUAUGAUAAUUGACGGUAAGGUAAAUACAUUUUAAUCGUAUUAAACUUAAUUUUCAACUAAAUUAUAAUUGUGUCAAUCCAAAUGCUCCUUGAUCGGGAUAUCGAGUUCGACAAACUUGCUCGUACAACGAGGUGCAAUGAAUUUAUCAAAAAAGUGGUCCAAAACUUUUUUUUAAAAAAAAGAAAAUCCAAAAGGCCAAUUUGCAUAAAAAAUUCACUUAUUUUGGGCUUUUGUAAAACCGGGCCACCUUUUUCGUUUUUGCAUAUUCGGUACGCUUUUUCAGCAAACUGACCAAAAUACCUUUUUUACUUUUUCUUUUCUUUUUCUCUCUCCUCUUCGUUUCUCUCGUUCUUCUUUUUUUUCUCGCCGGCAGAGCGGAGGCGGAAACGGUCCGUCUAGCCCUCGCCCUUGCCCUCAUCCACGCACCCCCCACCUUCCUCACCUCCAACCCCGCCAAGGCCGCGCCGCGACUUUUUUUUUUUUGCUUUUUUCUUUUCUUUUCUUCUCCAACUCUUCUCCACCGUCUCCGACGACGACGCCUCUCUCGUCCUUCCCCGCCCUUCUCAUCUCUCCCUCUCCCUCAUUCUCUACCGCAUCCGACAAC
rnacentral:lncRNA from 1 species